UGAUUUGAUUUGAUUUAGCACAACAGGCUAACACUCAGCUAGCACAAUAGGCUAACACUCAGCUAGCACAACAGGCUAACACUCAGCUAGCACAACAGGAUAACACUCAGCUUGUGCAACAGGCUAACACUCGACUAGCACAACAGGCUAACUCUCAACUAGCACAACAGGCUAACACACAGACAUUUGACACCUCGCCCUCAACCCCACCACACGCCUUCCCCCAGCUCCACACCCAGAGAGACAGAGCUACAGUCCUGCACUGAAAGAGACAGACCAGAGGAACAGCUGAGACCAGACCAGCUGGGACCAUCAGAACUACUGUCCUCCAGCUGGGACCAUCAGAACUACUGUCCUCCAGCUGGGACCAUCAGAACUACUGUCCUCCAGCUGGGACCAUCAGAACUACUGUCCUCCAGCUGGGACCAUCAGAACUACUGUCCUCCAGCUGGGACCAUCAGAACUACUGUCCUCCAGUGAGACCAUCAGAACUACUGUCCUCCAGCUGUGACCAUCAGAACUACUGUCCUCCACUGAGACCAUCAGAACUACUGUCCUCCAGCUGAGACCAUCAGAACUACUGUCCUCCACUGAGACCAGCAGAACUACUGUCCUCCACUGAGACCAGCAGAACUACUGUCCUCCAGCUGGGACCAUCAGAACUACUGUCCUCCAGCUGAGACCAGCAGAACUACUGUCCUCCAGUGAGACCAUCAGAACUACUGUCCUCCAGCUGAGACCAUCACAACUACUCUCCUCCAGCUGGGACCAUCAGAACUACUGUCCUCCAGCUGGGACCAUCAGAACUACUGUCCUCCAGCUGUGACCAUCAGAACUACUGUCCUCCAGCUGGGACCAUCAGAACUACUGUCCUCCAGCUGGGACCAUCAGAACUACUGUCCUCCAGCUGAGACCAUCAGAACUACUGUCCUCCAGCUGGGACCAUCAGAACUACUGUCCUCCAGCUGGGACCAUCAGAACUACUGUCCUCCAGUGAGACCAUCAGAACUACUGUCCUCCAGUGAGACCAUCAGAACUACUGUCCUCUAGUGAGACCAUCAGAACUACUGUCCUCCAGCUGAGACCAGCAGACCUGCUGUCCUCCAGUGAGACCAGUAGAACUACUGUCCUCCAGCUGAGACCAGCAGACCUGCUGUCCUCCAGUAUUCACACAGACAGUAUUAAGACUAAUUUCAAAGCCAUCGGUUCCAGCUAAACGACGUCUGCUCCCGUCCGCACUGACACCUUUCGAAGGGGAAGUUUUGGAGGACGGGAUGCGGAACUCUUGUAAAGGUGGAAACGAGGCAUUGCCAGAGAGCCUAGAGACUGGUGUUUUACUGUUAAACAUUUAUAACCCCCCAGUCUACAUUUACCCAUCACCACCACCAGCCCAUAGAGACCCCCC
ensembl:lncRNA